AUUUAAACCUAAAUUCAUUACUCUUGUUGAAUUUAUAUCAUUACCUCAAUGUCACAUUAUUUAUGGAUAAUUUUACAUAAACUAUGAUAAAUGAAAUUCUUACUGUAACCAGAAUAUAUUCAAACCAAACAGAUGUUAUAUUAUAGUAAAAGACCACAUGAUGGUUCCAAGGUAGCUACAGUGUUUUGCUAUAUAUUGUGAAUUUAGUAUUGCAUUUAAACAUUAGCGUAAUGAAUAAUAUUUUUUAAGGUACUUAUAAGGAUAGAAGCUGCAGUUUAUAUACAUUAUUUAUACUUUGCAUGUAUCCUUACACCUGUAUUAUUUAAGGAAUGACUGUAAUAUUUUUUCUGUGUAUUAAGAAAUCACGUAAAAAAUUUGGUGCACACUGAAUAACGUGUGUAGCGGGUUAUUUAACAGUGUGCACCACAUUUUUUAUGUUAUUUCAAAUAGACAGAAAAAAUAUUACAGUCAUUUCUUAUAAUUAAAUACUAAUUUCCAUUUUAAACUGUAGAAAAUCAAGAAAAAACGUUGAUGACGUCAUGGUCACAUGACUAAAUUAUGUCUAUGGGCUGAUAACAAAAUGACCUCAGCCAAUCAGAAGACGAGUUACAUUCAAAAUUAAAUUAUUUCAUAAUCUCAUUACAUUUAUGUUUCAUUAGCAUCCAUGGUUUGAUUGUUAGACAACCAAAGAAUAGUCACUCUAAUACUCUAAAAAUAUACUUCAUUUCCCAAUUAAAUGAAACAUAUAUGACUGUAUGUGCUCCACAUGACAACAAUGCUUAAUGAAACAAAAUAGUUAUACGGAUCCACAAUCGCAAAUUUGUAUUCUCAUGUGGAAUAAAAACAAUAAUUUAGUGGUGUUCUGAAUCUAAAUAUCAUGCUUUUCUGGGAUAUAUCAAAAAAACUUCAGGAAAUUGCAUAAAGUACUGUAAAUUCUGUAAAUAUUGUGAUGUUUUUAUUAUUGCAAAAAAUGUGACAAGGUUAUAAUCGCGUUUCGAUAAUUUUUUUUAUGAAUUAAA
rnacentral:lncRNA from 1 species